GACACCAUUUCAUGCGAUCGUUCUUGCCUCCAAGCUGAUUGAUGACAAGUGUUAAAUUUAAAUAAUGCCAUGUUUAGGAAAGAGAGGAAAAGGAAACUUUGGGAUUCUCUGUGGCCUGAGUCAGGCAAGGCAACAGGCCAGCCUUUCUCCAAGGUUUAAAAAAAAACAACUUGUCCUUAGAAACCCGGCGAGGGCACGUGGAAUGGUUCUAAAUGAAGGUAUCAACCAGACUAUGGAAAAGCUUAAUGAAAUAAUGCACAAAAGACUCAUAAGCAUCAGUGAAAUCUCUCAACUAACCAAGCACCUUAUUUAUGAAAGAGCUCAGAUACUAUUACCUCUUAAGCCUUCGUCUGGAGGAAUCCAUCAAUGUCCUUUUUCAAACUCUCUAAAAACACUCUCCAAAGAAGAAAGGCAAACUCUGUUCUGUGAACCAGUAUCCCUGCACUACCACCAACCUGUCUGA
rnacentral:lncRNA from 12 species